CACUAUGAAGCUAGUAGCGCUAACCUUUUAAGUUAGAGAUAGGGACUCCACAACCCCCAUAGUGA
rnacentral:tRNA from 1 species